GAUAGCCCUUCGAAAGGAGGAUUAAUACUUUAUAAUAGAAAUCAUGGCAUCAUGAAUUUUUGAAAGAUUUAUCGCAGUAGGAUAGGCAUGCGUAAGAUUAGUUAGUUGGUGAGGUAACGGCUCACCAAGACGAUGAUCUUUAGGGGGUCUGAGAGGGUGAACCCCCACACUGGUACUGAGACACGGACCAGACUCCUACGGGAGGCAGCAGUGAGGAAUAUUGGACAAUGGGUGGAAGCCUGAUCCAGCCAUCCCGCGUGUAGGAUGACGGCCUUAUGGGUUGUAAACUACUUUUAUCUGGGGAUAAACCUACUUACGUGUAAGUAGCUGAAGGUACCAGAAGAAUAAGCACCGGCUAACUCCGUGCCAGCAGCC
rnacentral:rRNA from 1 species